UACGUAGGUGGCAAGCGUUGUCCGGAAUUACUGGGCGUAAAGCGUGCGCAGGCGGUUUUGUAAGCCAGAUGUGAAAGCCCCGGGCUCAACCUGGGAAUGGCAUUUGGGACUGCAAGGCUUGAGUGCGGCAGAGGAGACUGGAAUUCCUGGUGUAGCAGUGAAAUGCGUAGAUAUCAGGAGGAAUACCGAUGGCGAAGGCAGGUCUCUGGGCUGACACUGACGCUCAUGCACGAAAGCGUGGGGAGCAAACAGG
rnacentral:rRNA from 1 species